rnacentral:rRNA from 1 species
AUUGAACGCUGGCGGCAGGCCUAACACAUGCAAGUCGAGCGGCAGCGGAAAGUAGCUUGCUACUUUGCCGGCGAGCGGCGGACGGGUGAGUAAUGCCUGGGAAACUGCCUGAUGGAGGGGGAUAACUACUGGAAACGGUAGCUAAUACCGCAUGACCUCGAAAGAGCAAAGUGGGGGAUCUUCGGACCUCACGCCAUCGGAUGUGCCCAGAUGGGAUUAGCUAGUAGGUGAGGUAAUGGCUCACCUAGGCGACGAUCCCUAGCUGGUCUGAGAGGAUGACCAGCCACACUGGAACUGAGACACGGUCCAGACUCCUACGGGAGGCAGCAGUGGGGAAUAUUGCACAAUGGGCGCAAGCCUGAUGCAGCCAUGCCGCGUGUGUGAAGAAGGCCUUAGGGUUGUAAAGCACUUUCAGCGAGGAGGAAGGCACCAUACUUAAUACGUGUGGUGAUUGACGUUACUCGCAGAAGAAGCACCGGCUAACUCCGUGCCAGCAGCCGCGGUAAUACGGAGGGUGCAAGCGUUAAUCGGAAUUACUGGGCGUAAAGCGCACGCAGGCGGUUUGUUAAGUCAGAUGUGAAAUCCCCGCGCUUAACGUGGGAACUGCAUUUGAAACUGGCAAGCUAGAGUCUUGUAGAGGGGGGUAGAAUUCCAGGUGUAGCGGUGAAAUGCGUAGAGAUCUGGAGGAAUACCGGUGGCGAAGGCGGCCCCCUGGACAAAGACUGACGCUCAGGUGCGAAAGCGUGGGGAGCAAACAGG